AAAAUAGUUGGAAGUUAAAAAGUAUAAAUUAGGAUAAGUAAACUUUCACUAUAACAAAAGCGGUCUAUAGUGACAUUUUUAAAUGUAGGUACAUGUCAAAAAAGUGCUGCUAGCUAAAAUUACCGACACUUUUAAAAAGUGUUGCUAUAUGUGAGGUCGCUAGAUAUAUAGUGACAGUUAAAGAGUGUCGCUAUAACCUAAAAGAGUGCUGCUAUUUUACCAACACUUAUUUAAGAAUUUAGUAACCGCCAAAACUCUAUCUCGUUGGCUGCCGUGGCGGAGGAUGACGACAGGAAAGGCUCUUCGUCUAGAAUUUUAGUAGAUUGAGUGAAGAGAGAAGAAAAGAUGGUAAUUGUUUUUUUCUUUUUUUUUUUCUUUUCUGUUUAUAAUCGGGCCAAAUGGACUGGGUGUGGUGGGUUGAGUAGAGUAAUCUCUUAUUCUUGGUUGGAUUGGGCUUUAUAUUUAGGCAUUAGUAGAUAUUUUUUUUAAGUUUUAGUAUAAAUGGGACACUUACUCAAAAGUGUCCCAAACAUGUGUCCCUAUAACCUAAUUCUGUUGUAGUGUUUAGGGUUCCAUUUCA
rnacentral:lncRNA from 1 species